UACGUAGGGUGCGAGCGUUUAAUCGGAAUUACUGGGCGUAAAGCGUGCGCAGGCGGUUUUGUAAGCCAGAUGUGAAAUCCCCGGGCUUAACCUGGGAAUGGCAUUUGGGACUGCAAGGCUGGAGUGUGGCAGAGGAGACUGGAAUUCCCGGUGUAGCAGUGAAAUGCGUAGAUAUCUGGAGGAACACCGGUGGCGAAGGCGACAUCCUGGACCGGUAUUGACGCUGAGGCGCGAAAGCCAGGGGGAGCAAACGGG
rnacentral:rRNA from 1 species